rnacentral:rRNA from 1 species
UGGGGAAUUUUGGACAAUGGGCGAAAGCCUGAUCCAGCAAUGCCGCGUGUGUGAAGAAGGCCUUCGGGUUGUAAAGCACUUUUGUCCGGAAAGAAAUCCUUGGCUCUAAUACAGUCGGGGGAUGACGGUACCGGAAGAAUAAGCACCGGCUAACUACGUGCCAGCAGCCGCGGUAAUACGUAGGGUGCAAGCGUUAAUCGGAAUUACUGGGCGUAAAGCGUGCGCAGGCGGUUUGCUAAGACCGAUGUGAAAUCCCCGGGCUCAACCUGGGAACUGCAUUGGUGACUGGCAGGCUAGAGUAUGGCAGAGGGGGGUAGAAUUCCACGUGUAGCAGUGAAAUGCGUAGAGAUGUGGAGGAAUACCGAUGGCGAAGGCAGCCCCCUGGGCCAAAUACUGACGCUCAUGCACGAAAGCGUGGGGAGCAAACAGGAUUAGAUACCCUGGUAGUCCACGCCCUAAACGAUGUCAACUAGUUGUUGGGGAUUCAUUUCCUUAGUAACGUAGCUAACGCGUGAAGUUGACCGCCUGGGGAGUACGGUCGCAAGAUUAAAACUCAAAUGAAUUGACGGGGUCAUAGCUGUUUCC